GUUGGCGUAGCUCAAUCGGUAGAGCAACUGACUUUUAAUCAGUAGGUUGAAGGUUCAACUCCUUCCGCCGGCACCA
rnacentral:tRNA from 1 species